AGGACCAAGGGGUGCUGUGCUGUAACCAGACCUUGCACCUUGGGGUGGAGGCUGGGCACCAGUGGUCCUCAGGUGGCCACUUGUAUCUGCCAUGAUCCAGGCAAACACUGCUGUGGAGAGGAGUCAUACAACCCUCAGAAUGAAAUCUGCUGCAACGGACUGAAGUGAGUUGCUCUGUACGGUGGAAACUGCAAAGACUCAGCAGGUGGAGGGUUAUGCAUGUUAUGCUGCAGAGGGAAGACCUACGACCCCAGCAGUGGCCAGAUGAAGUCCGUUGCCGGGACUCUGUACGACCUUCAGGUUCAGGACAGGCUCUCAGAGGAUGCCCAGUGCUGUGGGAAUCUCCUGAUGGAGGCCGGCUCCACCUGCUGCUCCGACCCAGGACUAGACCUGCUCUACCCUACCCAGCCAGGGUUCACCUGCUGUGGGCACCGAUACCCCAACUCCUCCCUGUGGUCUUGCUGUGCGGGGGUCCUGCACCCAAGGCUUGAACCACACACCACCAGCAUGAACAUGACUCCAGGACCUAGGAUUCUACCACUGGGGAGCCUGAAGACGGAAGUCCUGUGUGACACCAGAGUUCUGCUAGGGACAGUGGAGAGUGUGUCUGUGAAGAGGAAUGAGCGGUCCAUCAUGAUGGGGAAGGUCAUGUCCAUGCAGGCCUUGUGUGGCCCUGUCAACGCCCUGCCUGCCCCUCACUACCUCACAUACUGCAGCUCUACUGAACUGGUGCCGGGCAACACUGACAUCUGGGUGGAAACAAGACAUUUCUCAGAAACAGUAAACUUCAUCUCUGAUCUCAGCGACUAUUCCUCCCUUCUCUCUUCCACCCUCUCCAGAUCCAGCUAACAAACCAGGCUGGGUCUGAUGUAACCAUAUAGACAGCAGAGAAGUUGCCUGAACAAGCAAGCUUUGUAGCCAUGAGCAAUGUUUCUCCUCAGGGUCAGUGGGAACCCGUCGUUCAGGGCAGUUUUGAGCCCCACCUGUUUAGCUGAAAUGAAAAUGAAAAUAUAUUAUACAGUACCGGUAAAAAGUUUGGACACACCAACUCAUUCAAGGGUUUUCCUUUAUUUGUAUUAUUUUCUACAUUGUAGAAUAAUAGUGAAUACAUCAAAACUAUGACAUAACACAUAUGGAAUCAUGUAGUAACCAAAAAAGUGUUAAACAAAUCAAAAUAUAUUUUAUAUUUUUCAAAGUAGACACUCUUUGCCUUGAUGACAGCUUUGCACACUCCUGGCAUUCUCUCAACCAUCUUCAUGAAGAAUGCUUUUCCAUCAGUCUUGAAGGAGUUCCCACAUAUGCUGAGCAAUCAAAUUUGGACUCAUCAGACCAAAAACCAGAUUUCCAACUCUCUAAUGUCCAUUGCUCGUGUUUCUUGUCCAAAGGAAGACUCUUCUUCCUAUUGAUGUCCUUUAGUAGUGGUUUAUAUGCAGAAAUUCGACCACGAAGGCCUGAUUUCAAGCAGUUUCCUGUGAACGGUUGAUGUUGAGAUGUGUCUGUUACAUGAAUUAUGUGAAGAAUUUAUUUGGGCUACAAUCUGAGGUGCAGUUAACUCUAAUGAACUUAUCCUCUGCAGCAGAGGAGAGCAAGUUUCAUAAUAGCAUUUGAUGGUUUUUGUGAAUGUUCCGUACUGAUUGACCUUCAUGUCUUCAAGUAACGAUGGACUGUUGUUUCUCGUUGAUUAUUAAAGCUGUUCUUGCCAUAUGGACUUGGUCUUAUCAAAUAGGGCUAUCUUCUGUAUACCACUCUUACCUUGGUCACAAUACAAAUGAUUGGCUCAAAUUCCACAAAUUAACUUUCAACAAGGCACACCUGUUAGCGGACGACACAACAGUGGUAGGCUUGAUUACCAACAACAACGAGACGGCCUACAGGGAGGAGGUGAGGGCCCUCGGAGUGUGGUGUCAGGAAAAUAACCUCAUACUCAACGUCAACAAAACUAAGGAGAUGAUUGUGGACUUCAGGAAACAGCAGAGGGAACACCUCCCUAUCCACAUCGAUGGAACAGUAGUGGAGAAGGUAGCAAGUUUUAAGUUCCUCGGCAUACACAUCACAGACAAACUGAAUUGGUCCACCCACAGACGCAUCGUGAAGAAGGCGCAGCAGCGCCUCUUCAACCUCAGGAGGCUGAAGAAAUUUGGCUUGUCACCAAAAGCACUCACAAACUUCUAC
ensembl:lncRNA